rnacentral:rRNA from 1 species
CGCGGUAGUAUGACCGUGCUAAGGUAGCAUAAUAAUUUGUCCUUUAAUUGGGGACUGGUAUGAACGGUUGAACAAGAAAUUAACUGUCUCUAUUGCAAACUUUGAACUUUACAUUUAAGUGAAAAGGCUUAAAUAGUAUAGGGGGACGAUAAGACCCUAUAAAUCUUUAUACUUUAACUAAUAAAUUUUAAAGACUAGUUGCAAAUUUAGUGUUAUUAAGUUAAAAUAUUUUGUUGGGGCGACAGGAGUAUAAUAAGUAACUGCUUUGUUUAUAAAUUUAAUUAUUUUUAAUGUGUAAAUUGUAUUGAUCCUCUGUUGGAGAAAUCAGACUAAGUUACUUUAGGGAUAACAGCGUAAUCUUUUUUGAGAGUCCAUAUCGAAAAAAUGGUUUGCGACCUCGAUGUUGAA